rnacentral:lncRNA from 1 species
AUUUGCUUCAGUUAAUCCUCUAGGACACUGAUCAUUUCAAGAUAUGUGCAGAAAUUGUUUAUUUUGUGCUUAGUACUCUUCAUGAGGAGAUGGGGACAAGUAGGUCCAGACAGGCCCCCAGAAUAUCUUUUUUUGUAGGAUAUGUGUUGAUUGGGAGAAACAAAUGUGCAUAGAAAUAAGAAAGUUGGACCAGAUAGAGGCAAUUACACCUUGCAGAGAAGUCUCCAGUUUCAGAAGGAUUGUGAAAGGCUUAAGUGAUAAUCGGGU